GGCCCCCAGAGUAAUGCCAUUCCCAUGCUUGUCCCAGUCUUGUCCCAUCUGCUGGCUGCUCUUUCUUCCCCAGUAUGACCAUUGAACAGCAUGUUCUCAGCUAUAGCGAUGCUUCUGCCUGUAACUUCGCAAGCAAAGAAACCACACCACCUGGCUGUGGUGAAGAGAUGAAGCCAUGCUCCAGCCACAGGCAAAUACCAUCAUCCUUCAUUGCAUCUUCCUGAGAGGUCCUCAGCAAUGAAGAGGUACCGCAGUGCAGCAUUUCCCUGGAUUACUCUGCCACCCCUGUUGAACCAGAACAUCAAAGGUACAAAUCUUCUGCAAACUUUUGGCCUCAUUUCAGCCAGUUUAUGUGAUAUCUGAAGUACAUUCAGCAGCAAAUUGCACUGGAAGCUGUUCUUUUGGAUUUUCUAUUUAUGCAAUGCAAGUUGAUGUGAAUUUGAAUUCAGAUCAGUGAUCUUGUCAGAGUUGCCAUAGGUAACUAUACGCAGACCUAGAAUGUCUUCCUCUAGAUCAUAUCUAUGGAUGGUCUGCACACAAAACUGAAGUUUAAAUCCCACAGGAACUGUAGUGCUGCCUUUGAACUAAGCUCCAAAGUGCUGAAGGAAGGAUGGACACACAGCAAAGGCUUUACUUUGGGUGGGCCAUUUCUAAAAUGCAGUUUCUUUCUACUUAAAAGUUUCAACUGAAUCAGUGCUGC